UUUGCCCCAAUUGCCUUCUCUUAUCUUCCUCCUAUUCCUGACUCUUUUUUUCUUCCCAGCUAAUUCCCCUCCGACUUUCAGUUCUCUUUUCACAUAUUCAGAUUUUAUUCAGAUGGUCACAGCUACUGUAACGUGUUCAGCUUCGAUGGGGACCUCACAUUCAGAAGGGCUACAACAGUUCUCCCUCCCUUCCUGGAGUCUGCGCUCAGUCACUGAGGAGGAGGCUGGAGGCAUCCAGAGAAUGCCUUGACACAGCCCAGCUGCCCAUCACUGCAGAUCUUGGGGCCCAAAGCCAAUUCAUUCCUGUAGGAAAGAAGAGGCACCCGAAGGAAAUGGGGGAAGAAGAAACAUUAAAGCAACAAAGAGCCAAAAAGAUACCGAAGGUCUGAAAGAGGCAAAGAGGAAGAAGGAUGGGUUCAAAAGAUAGGUGGUCUGUCUGCAGGGCAGUGAGUGCCCCCUGUGCAGUUUCGGGGAGGAGUAGCUUGACCUGGAGGCAACAGUCGGAAGAAAAAUGAGACAGAGCCUGUGAUUCUUACCAGAGCCUCUCUCACCAGCGGAAUGAUUUGUAGCGAAAAUGCAAAGACUGCAGACGAAAGAGAAAAAGGAUGGUGAGAAGUAAGAGUUACUGUUCAUCCAGUUCUGAACAGGGAAAGGAGAAGAAAAAUCUGAUGCUCGUCUGCAUGAGAGACAGAAGCCAGGGUCCAUCUGCAGUGGUCUCACUUGCCACCCUUCGCCACAGAACUACCCUACGACUGCACUGAAGCCCCCAGACAGCAGUCGAGCUUGGUGGAGAGCUUGGGCGUGGCCACAUCUGACUGAAUUAGGACUUGCGUUGGACAAUCCUUGUUCCUGAUUGGGAAAGAGGCCCCAUUGCCCAACUUUUCCUCCUCUCUCCUUUCCCUUCAGUAUCAGAUAUUCACCACAGUCUAAAGAUUCCCUGCCGAAUACUGCUUCCCCCUUUGUAAUUUUAUUGUCUUUACUUCACAAUAAAUCUCUUACAUACUAAUCUCCCAUCUUAGAAUCUGCUCCUCCAGGGAUCUGAGCUAGCAUAUCUCUAUACUACCUCAGCAGAUACGUCUUUCUUCUUAAAACACAUUGGAGAGUUUUAUUAACUCGAUCGCACGGCAUCUCACAUCACAGCUAUAGCUUUCUUGACAUGCCUGGCCUUCAAAGAGAGCCAUUUAUCACAUCAACUAAGCCUAUUCAAAACCAAGUUUUGGAUCCUCAUAUUGUUUGUAAUGAAAUGCCAUCUCCUGGGGGUGGCUUAUGGAGAGAAAGGGCCAUUUUAAGUCAACACCCCACACACUAGCGCGUUGCCAAGGCUUUACAAGUUGGAUUGCGGCCUGAAGAGAGCAAGCAUGGAGGGAGGGGAGGGCCCCUGAACAUGUCUGGAGGUGAUAACAAGAGCAGCCGUGUUUCAGAAGGGUUUACGAGGGUUCUUGGAGGGGACCCUUGAGAAGCCUACCACUUUUAUGCCACUUGGCAUCUUGUCGUUUUUGGCACAAGCUAAGUUAGAGCUUGGAAUGAGGUUAUCACAGUCUAUUUGUUCUGCCAAAGAACUGGCUACUGCUUCGAGUCUGCGUUCCUCUCAUCUUAUUUGCUUCUGCCUUGCCAGACACACUCCCCUGCGGUUCCUGGUAGCCCCACUGGUAGCUGAUAGCGUGACUGCUAGAAGUACGAGUGUAAGACAGAGCCAAGAAAACCAAACAACCUGCGCUUUGCUAUUUAUCCACUCCGUGUUUGCAGCCUGGCAUUCUUGACGACUGUUGGAACCCCUCUCCUUACUAGAAGGCAUUAUCAGCUAGACAGCAGACACAUACUUCUUCUAUUAUCUAAUGCCUCUGCACAAGGCGUUGAAAACAUCAAUUCCUUCAGUUAUGUUUUGGUGUGCCCAAAUACAUAGAAGCAAGAAAACAUUACAAUGCCUCAACUCAGACAUGAUUUAAUCCAAGGUAGCAAUCACACGACUAGCAAGUACUUUCAAGGAAGCAGAAUUACAAGACUUCAACACAGAUGAUAGCCCCCUACAAAGAGCCUUCUUUCCAUGACUAUACUUUAGCAUCAGCCAUACAUCAAUCCCCGAGGCCUUUUGGCAUCUGUGAAACUAUGUUGGUUGAUUUUGUUUAUUUUUAUGCCUUCUUUGGAGAUUGGAAGAAACUGGAUGUCAUCACAGAAUAACCCUGUCUGAAGGCAGGAAUCCCUUUUCUCUAGAGUGGCCAUAUCCAAAGCAGCCAUUAGUUCCCAAAGACAAGUGAAGACAAGUCCAGUGCUGUAUUACCUUUGAAAAUGUCUGCAUGACAGCCAUGUGGUACCAAAGCGGUGGGGGCAGGGAAAAUGGGCCCCCCCCACAUCCCCAGCCUCACUCGUCUGAGGAUGGACAGAUUUAUAAGUAGGAUUGUAUACUGUGUUUUGUUAGUUGAACUAUUCUACCAGGCUUGUCUCUGAAAUGGCCAAUUCUCUCACUUUCCCUUUCUCUUCUCUAGAGGCAGAAAUGACCAACCCUUCUUUCAGCAAAGGACUCUUUUCACUGCUUGGGUUUUCAUUUUUAAGAAUUAUCUAUUGACUUCCUACUGUGGAAGACAGAAUUUCAUUCUCCUUCAUUCCUACCCCUUCCCUAGUCUCCACCAUCUCAUCUGCUUUUAAUCUCUUAUCUUUAUUUCAAUCUAAUGUAGUUUUGGCUAAGUCAGUAUUAAAUAUUUAAAUUUUCAUAACCAUUUAAUUAUUUGGGGUAGGUAAGUCUUUUGCUAUUUUUAUGCUCUUAUGUCAAAGUAGCAUUAAGCUCUCAAUUAAACAUUGUCCAACUCCUCCGGCUGAUUUCAUCUUAGAGCAAUAUUUUGGAGCCUUCUCAACUCUACUCAUGAGGUGCCUUCAUCUUUUCUGUCUGGAUGGUUGAUGUCCUUCUCCUUUGCUGCAUCUCUCUUUCCUGCAUGCUGUCUUUUCUUCUCUGACUUCAUCUGCUACUUGGGUGGGGUACUUCCUUCCUACAGCAGUUUCUUGAGACAGAGCGUGCAGGGGUUGUUGUUAAGUUUUACAUGCUCAAAAGUGUCCUUAUUCUGUCUGCUUUUGCAGUGUUUAGUAUGACUGCAGAAUCCUAGGGUGGAGAUAAUUUCCCGCCAGAAUGCUGACGGCAUUAUUAUUUCAUUGUUCUAACUUCCAAUGCCAUGUCUGAAUAGAAGGAUGUCUUUCUGAUUCCUGUCCUUUGUAUUUUCUGUCUGAAAGCUAAUGUGAUUUGGUUAUG